rnacentral:rRNA from 1 species
UCAUAUAGUGAAAUGGCCACAUUUCAUUUCAUAUCAUUUUGCAGAGGAGCUUGGUUAGUACUUGGAUGGAAUACCACCUGGGAACACCAGGGGCUGUAGGCU